rnacentral:snRNA from 1 species
GGAUGGGAGGGCGAUCUGGCUGCGACAUCUGUCACCCCAUUGAUCGCCAGGGUUGAUUCAGCUGAUCUGGCUGGUUAGGCGGGUGUGUCCUUCCUCCCUCACUGCUCCAUGUGCAUCCCUCCCGAAGCUGUGCGCUCGGGUGGAAGAGGACGGCCUUCCCUGAUAGAGGAGGAUCGUUCUUCGGUCAAGGGUAUACGAGUAGCUGCUCUCCCCUGCUAGAACCUCCAAACAAGCUCUCAAAUGGCAAUAAGUACAUGCCUUUCAAUAAUUACUUGAAACACAAAUGGACUAAAUGUUC